GCCGGUCCCAGUUCGGAUAAGAGGCUGAAACUCGCCUCUUUGAAGUCGGAAUCGCUAGUAAUCGCAGAUCAGCAUGUUGCGGUGAAUACGUUUCCUGGUCUUGUACACACCGCCCGUCAAACCAUGAGAGUCGCCAACACCCGAAGUCCGCUUUGCGGCCUAAGGUGGGGGAGAUGAUUGGGGUUAAGUCGUAACAAGGUAUC
rnacentral:rRNA from 1 species